GGGCUCAGAAUGAAAGCACCCCUACAGAUGAAAAGAUUUGUCCUUUUUUCCAAGGAAAUUUGGCCACUAUAAUAAUAAGGAAAAGGCGUCCUCAGGGUCGGAUCAGCUCUUUCUCUGAGGUCCUUCAAUAUUGAGGUAACCUCCACCUGGGAUGA